CAACUCUGAAAGACGCUCGAGCGCUCGCAGCGUACACAAAUUCGCUGCCUAGAGGGCGCGUUCUGGUUUGUCGCGUCGCGUCGCUCGUUUACUGUAAAUGUAAAUGGAGGAAUUGGAUCCGAAACUCUCACUCCUCUCCCCCUGACUCACCGACAAACAAAGUGGGACGCUUGAAUUUGUUAUACCACACCACGGAGACGUUUGCACUGCUUUUUAUACACCGCCGCGUCACAAGUAAAUCUCGCGUUUCGCGGAGCUGGAAAAUAUGUGUAUAACUAAUAACUACUGACAGCGGUGAAAACCAUUGCACUCACGAAUGUCAUGCACUGAUCAAGAGCCUUUGCCUUCUGUGACUUUCAGCGGACUUAAUAACAACCAACAUGAAGCAGUCAGGUACAGUCAGAGCGCGUUGCCUAUUCUAAAGGACUUUUAAACUUGUUGAAAUCAUUGUAAACAUGGAAGAGGCAGGCGCUGGGAACGGUGCUGGGACGCAGGGCUGUGAACUGGAGCGUUCUGGAGACGGAGGACUGGAUGAGGUGCAGAUGCAUCUCGCCUGCUUACCGGAGCGAUACAUGAGAGCCAAGUUUUCCCUCUCCGCGUACAUAUUUUGUUGGACAGUAGUAAAGUUGUGUCAGGCCCCAGCUUUAGAGGACUCUGGGAGUGAGGCAGCUUGUCUGGAUGAUGGGGAGUCUCAGCAGGAGGAGCAAGGAGAGCAACAGGACCAUCAGGAAUGGUGUGAGCCGGUUCCUGAAGCAGCACAGGACACAAAAGAGGAAUAUUUUGACACACACUCAUGGCCCAGUGACACUUUCUCUGAAUCGAGUCAUGAAACUAAGGACUGCUGCAGGACACCGCUCAGCUAUGAGGUUGGAUCUUGCUCUAUGGGUCAUCUGGACACACACUCUCCAUUUGUCAAACCGUCACCUUUGGUUAGAGGGAGAAAUCCCUCUUCAACAAAACAGCAUCAUUCUGUCAAUCAUGCUGACAGUCUCUGUAGAACAGUGGAUAGAGAGCAAUUGCAAAUACAGACUGGAAAUAUGGGGGUGAUGCACAUGGGAGUUGAUGGCACUGGAAUGUCUCAAGCUAAGGGUGCUCUGGAAUGUGAGGAGGUUUUCAACAAUUCUCCAGCGGAACCUGAAGUUGAUUCUUCUUCAAGGAAUGGCCAAUCCUAUGUAGUAGCACCUCUACUGGCAUUAGAGAACUCUGUGGAACCGCAAACACUCACUGAGCCAUGUGCUAAUGACUCAUUAUUGACCUUAACAGACAGUGAUGGAGCCAAGUUUCAGUUUGCUGACACCUUUGAGGGAAAAUCAAAAUGGGAUCAAAUUAACAAAAAUAUCACGAACACUCAGUCAGGACACAAUGAGCCGCAAAUACAGUUCAUAACCUCAAGUGAGAAACAGUUACAGCAAAAUGAUAUUGACAGUAGUAACACUGAAAUACAGUUGAUUUCUAAUGCAUCUGUUGCGAAUAGUAAAGAUGCUGAAUGUCAUGAGUUGGGUGUUGAUGAAAAUAAGAUCAGUUUAUCUGUAUCACGUCAUCUUUUUGUAUAUGAGUCUGUAUCAGUUGAGAAGCCUAUUGAACAGAAGGUCGAGGAGUCAACAAAACACAGCCAUUCACAGCCCUCAGUAGAGCACAGCCAAUCACAGUCUUCAGUAGAGCACAGCAAAUCACAGGCCUCAGCAGAACAUAACCAAUCACAGGAUUCUGUAGAAUGCAGCCAAUCACAUAACUCAGCAGAACACAGCAAAUUACAAGACUCAGCAGAACACAGCCAAUCACAGGCCUUAACAGAAGACAGGCCAUCACAAGAUUUUGUUGAACACAGCCGAUCACAGGACUCAGUAGAACACAGCCGAUCACAGGACUCAGUAGAACACAGCCAAUCACCGGAUUCUGUAGAACACAGUCAGUCACAGGAUUCUGUAGAAUGCAGCCAAUCACAGAAUUCAGU
rnacentral:lncRNA from 1 species